CGUCCAAGUGUGCGUUCAUCCCACUCUCCCCAGCUAUAGCCUCUCCCCUCUCCACCUUCCAACUAUCACUCCUCCUGUCUCUUCUCUCCUUCCGGCCACCGGCGUUUGACCUGAGGCACUCACACCGCCAGCUGGUUUAGAAUGCUAGCCCGUAUGAGUGCCUUUAGAAUGCUAGCGGUACGAGUGUCUCAGGGCCAAACUCCGAUGAUCGGAAAAACAACGGCAAUAAAGGCAAGUUUAAAUAUAGUAGUUAUUGAUUUAUUAUGCAAGGUUCUAACGCAAGUUUUGCUUCUAAAAUAGGUAUAAAAAUUCGUUUCUACAGAAUAUCUUCUACUCCGGAGGGGCAGGAACAAGCGACAAAAAGGUAGAGAAAAAUGAAGAGGUUUUCAAGGGACCAAGACGCGUGGUAGUUAACAUCACCGACAUCAAACGACCACCCUCACCUCAAUAUGUCGACAAGUAUCAACCCUGCUCGACCCACCAGCGCCAUCACAGUGAUCAUGAGAUAGCUUAUUAUGCAUGGAUCCACACUAUAAGAAGAAGACAAGUUGGCCUAGUUGUGUUUGUGUGGUAGCAUCGUAUCUUUUUUUUAUUUCGGUCUUUCUUACUACUAAUAAUACAAUUUAGUCUGAUCUCAAAAAGAAAGAAGUACUUAGUCUUGUGUUUC